GAUGCGAGCGUUAUCCGGAUUUAUUGGGUUUAAAGGGUGCGCAGGCGGUACGGAAAGUCAGCGGUAAAAUUACGGAGCUCAACUCCGCCGAGCCGUUGAAACUUCCGCACUAGAGUGAGCGAGAAGUAAGCGGAAUGCGUGGUGUAGCGGUGAAAUGCAUAGAUAUCACGCAGAACUCCGAUUGCGAAGGCAGCUCACUGGAGCGCAACUGACGCUGAAGCUCGAAAGUGCGGGUAUC
rnacentral:rRNA from 1 species